AAACAAUUAGUCUCAGGCUACAAAGACUGAGGUGAUCACACAAAAUGCACAUUCUAUAUGGGUGCAUGCCUGAUAAAAUAUAGCCAUCAUCAUGCACUCCUGAAAAGUAACAUUCACAGAAACUCAUGUGAUAAUGAGCAAUAGUGAAGUGCAAAGGACAUCAGUUUUCAAAAACAGAGGAAAGAUUUAGUGUUUCAGCAGCCUUUCCCAAAUACCUCCUCUGCUCUGACCCCAGCUCCUUGGCACAACCCAUCACGUAUGCAGUGCCACCUUCCCUCCCUGGGACUGGCCAAGGAAGGAGCUCCCACCACACUGAAAACUUAGUACAAAGUUUGGCUUUGUUUGAGUUGGCAUGAGAGAGUGGUUUGGAGCUGUUGAUAAAAUUUCUGUUGUUGCAGACAUAGUUAAUCACACAAAGGAACUUUUAACUGCCACCAGCCUACAGGUGGGUAAAACUUUCAUUUAUGGCUACAUGAACAAAAAAUCCAAGGCAUAUGGCUUAUAUAGUUUCACAAGAAUGAAAUAUCUCACAUGCCUCGAAAAUUACUUCAGCUGACAUUUAGGAAAAAAAAAAAAAAUCCUAAGGCUUUCUGCCAAAUUUUAUCACACACAACAUGCUUGGCCAACAAAACACUCAGACAGCACAACAGCACUCAGUCCUGCCUCAGGAUGUAUCUUUGAAUUCUCUCCGUAAUCACUGUACUGCUAUUUGCCAACUUUUCCUGAAUUUGAAGCUUCACCUACACUUCCAAGAAACACAAGGACAAGCUGAAUUCAGGUGGAAUUUUUUUGAACUGGAGCUGCCUCUGUUUAGACAGGAGAAGCACACUGCAUUUGGAGCUGCAGAGGCAUUUCCUCCAGGUAGGAUUUUGAGCACAUGGUGUAGGAGAAGUCAGUGUUAUAUUAUUACAACUGCUGACAUUUGAGGGCAAAAAAAAAUGUCUAAUCUAGCAGUAAUUUUAAUCCCAAAGUCUGGGAUGGAGGAAUUGACAGAGAAGAAGAGAAUGCAAUUUUAACCAAGCAAGUUACACACACAGACAGUGAUUAGCAGUCCCAGAAAUGGCAAAACUGGCACCAUCCUGCUAAAGUUAUACAUAGCACACAAAAGAGUAUGAGAAAGGGCAGGACAAGUUGCAAGCCUUGCAUCAUGUCACCAGCAUGACUGCCCCUACUCUCAGGGAGCUGGAAUUCUGCUAUUUCUGUUGCUUUCACCAGCCUGAAGGAGACAUACAGAGUUACUUACACUAAACUGGCACAUGCCUUCCUCUCUGCAACCCUGAACAGAAGCAACAAAGAGAGGAACUUUCACGGGAUGUAGAGGAAUUUCCGUUGUUAUCAAUUUGUGAAUAUUUCUCACCAUUGCCAAAAGAAUCAUGGAUUGAUC
rnacentral:lncRNA from 1 species